CAAUAAAAUACAAGGAUACCUUUCCUUUUCUCACCUCACCGUUUCGGGCCUAAUUCUCAUCUACCUCCAAUCUGCAACUCCAAUUCCUUAAAUCCACUGUCUCCGUCGAACAUCUCCACCUUCUAAAUCUUGAUCAUCGAUCGAGGCUGUUUUGUUGCAAUUGUAGCCGAAGCCGGCGAAUCAGAAGAAGCCCUUGAUCUCAGACCAGUUUAGACCCGAUCCUUCAAUGUCCAGUACUACGCGCUGGGAAAUUGAAGCAGGACAAGAAGAGAGAAGAAAAUGCAGUGAACCCUUUUUGAUUGUUAGUUUGAGUUUAUUAUGCAAGUCUAUUGGCUUUACUGUUAUUUCUUAUAUAUGUUGCUUGAAGAUUAUUAGUUUGAUUAUUGAGUUGGUAGUGCUAUAGGACUUUUAGACUGCCGUGCUGAUGAGUUUAGGAAUUGACAGGAGAGGAAUACCAGUUUGAAGAAUUUGUGCAGGUGGAUUCCGAACUUCGCUCCCCAGAAGAGGUCCAAAACAUCACAGCGCACUCCCACUGGUAUUGCAUUGCUCAGACUUUGUUUGGUUUGCAAUAGCGAUCCUAAGCUUGAUGUCAACUAUUCUGCCUUGGAAAACUGAAGUUAUCUUGAAGAAAGUAGUCAUUGCACUUGGCAAGAGUGUAGCUGGAAGUAUCAAAGAGUAAGGUUUGAGCUUCUUUUUCUUCUAAUAACCUGAAAUGGUUUAUUUCAGUUGUGACUAUGGAUUUUGAGGGUCUGCUUAUGAUAGAAGCUAUUUGAAGAGUAUAAGAAAUUAUAGAGGGAUUUUAUAGUAGGUUGGGAGAAGCCCCAUGUGUUUAUGAAUGUCCCUAUUUGACAUCCAACUAUAUUGUUGUUCUGUUGUCAAAGCUUGCUGUUCUUUUUUUUCUUUUUCAUGCUGCAUACAUAAAUAUGCUAGAAGGUGAUCUACUGAUCUAGAAUGUGAUCUUUGGGUUGUCAAAGAAUGCAUCUAGGUCCUAGAUUUGGCCCAGUCUAAUCAUUAAGAGCCGAGGACUUUAGGUGGGGAUGCACACAAACAUGAUAGUUUAUAGGCUGUAUGCUUAUUCUUUUGUACAUUUGGAAAUGAAGUUCAGAGUAUGGCAUAGGAAUGGAGGUGUCAACAAGUCGUGACAUCUAUAGCUAUGAAAUCCUGCUAUUUGAGAUGCUGAUAGGCAAGAGAUUGAUAUAUGACAUGUUUAAAGACGACCUGAACUUGCAUAAAUUUGUCAAAUAAGGCUUUGGCCUCCUUAUCCUAUUGGAUGGUGAUCAGAGCUGAGUCUUCUAGCCAUCCCAGCCAGCUUUUGAGCAACAGCACUUGGAGCCUAUUAUUGAAGAGGAGCUUUUGAACCAGCACAUGGACACUAUUGAAGAGUGUACGACUGGCUUUGAUUAUCCAACAAGAUGCUACCAGGCUACUUUGUUCUUGGGAUUUUAUGAUCUGUACCUAAAAUUAUGCUUGACCGGGACGGCUAGAAGACUGGGCUCUGAUCAAGAUGUUACCAGUAGACUUUGUUUGUGGGAUUUUAUGAUUUUUACUAAUUUUGAAUGCUAUGGAAACUUCUCUAAGUAUAUCAUGUCUUUAUUCAUUUGAAGUUCAGCUUCA